rnacentral:rRNA from 1 species
GAUGAACGCUGGCGGCGUGCCUAAUACAUGCGAGUCGAGCGAACGGACGAGAAGCUUGCUUCUCUGAUGUUAGCGGCGGACGGGUGAGUAACACGUGGAUAACCUACCUAUAAGACUGGGAUAACUUCGGGAAACCGGAGCUAAUACCGGAUAAUAUUUUGAACCGCAUGGUUCAAAAGUGAAAGACGGUCUUGCUGUCACUUAUAGAUGGAUCCGCGCUGCAUUAGCUAGUUGGUAAGGUAACGGCUUACCAAGGCAACGAUGCAUAGCCGACCUGAGAGGGUGAUCGGCCACACGGGAACUGAGACACGGUCCAGACGCCUACGGGAGGCAGCAGUAGGGAAUCUUCCGCAAUGGGCGAAAGCCUGACGGAGCAACGCCGCGUGAGUGAUGAAGGUCUGCGGAUCGUAAAACUCUGUUAUUAGGGAAGAACAUAUGUGUAAGUAACUGUGCACAUCUUGACGGGACCUAAUUAGAAAGCCACGGCUAACUACGU